UCAAUAGUGCUCUCGUGCCCUGCUGAGUCUGUAGUGAUCGGGGCAGGCUACACAUCACUCAGCAAACCACCCACGUGCCCCAGACCAAGUUCUUUCCCUAGGCCUGGUUUUCAAUGUUGGUGACAAGC